rnacentral:rRNA from 1 species
GGGUUGUGAGGUUAAGCGACUAAGCGUACACGGUGGAUGCCCUGGCAGUCAGAGGCGAUGAAGGACGUGCUAAUCUGCGAUAAGCGUCGGUAAGGUGAUAUGAACCGUUAUAACCGGCGAUUUCCGAAUGGGGAAACCCAGUGUGAUUCGUCACACUAUCAUUACGUGAAUACAUAGCGUAAUGAAGCGAACCGGGGGAACUGAAACAUCUAAGUACCCCGAGGAAAAGAAAUCAACCGAGAUUCCCCCAGUAGCGGCGAGCGAACGGGGAGCAGCCCAGAGUCUGAAUCAGCUUGUGUGUUAGUGGAACGGUCUGGAAAGUCCGACGGUACAGGGUGAUAGUCCCGUACACCAAAAUGCACAGGUUGUGAACUCGAAGAGUAGGGCGGGACACGUGGUAUCCUGUCUGAAUAUGGGGGGACCAUCCUCCAAGGCUAAAUACUCCUGACUGACCGAUAGUGAACCAGUACCGUGAGGGAAAGGCGAAAAGAACCCCGGCGAGGGGAGUGAAAAAGAACCUGAAACCGUGUACGUACAAGCAGUGGGAGCAUCCUUUUGGGUGUGACUGCGUACCUUUUGUAUAAUGGGUCAGCGACUUAUAUUCUGUAGCAAGGUUAACCGUAUAGGGGAGCCGAAGGGAAACCGAGUCUUAACUGGGCGUUAAGUUGCAGGGUAUAGACCCGAAACCCGGUGAUCUAGCCAUGGGCAGGUUGAAGGUUGGGUAACACUAACUGGAGGACCGAACCGACUAAUGUUGAAAAAUUAGCGGAUGACUUGUGGCUGGGGGUGAAAGGCCAAUCAAACCGGGAGAUAGCUGGUUCUCCCCGAAAGCUAUUUAGGUAGCGCCUCGUGAAUUCAUCUUCGGGGGUAGAGCACUGUUUCGGCUAGGGGGUCAUCCCGACUUACCAACCCGAUGCAAACUGCGAAUACCGAAGAAUGUUAUCACGGGAGACACACGGCGGGUGCUAACGUCCGUCGUGAAGAGGGAAACAACCCAGACCGCCAGCUAAGGUCCCAAAGUCAUGGUUAAGUGGGAAACGAUGUGGGAAGGCACAGACAGCCAGGAUGUUGGCUUAGAAGCAGCCAUCAUUUAAAGAAAGCGUAAUAGCUCACUGGUCGAGUCGGCCUGCGCGGAAGAUGUAACGGGGCUAAACCAUGCACCGAAGCUGCGGCAGCGACACUAUGUGUUGUUGGGUAGGGGAGCGUUCUGUAAGCCGUUGAAGGUGUGCUGUGAGGCAUGCUGGAGGUAUCAGAAGUGCGAAUGCUGACAUAAGUAACGAUAAUGCGGGUGAAAAACCCGCACGCCGGAAGACCAAGGGUUCCUGUCCAACGUUAAUCGGGGCAGGGUGAGUCGACCCCUAAGGCGAGGCCGAAAGGCGUAGUCGAUGGGAAACAGGUUAAUAUUCCUGUACUUGGUGUUACUGCGAAGGGGGGACGGAGAAGGCUAUGUUAGCCGGGCGACGGUUGUCCCGGUUUAAGCAUGUAGGCGGAGGUUCCAGGUAAAUCCGGUACCUUUUUAACGCUGAGGUGUGAUGACGAGGCACUACGGUGCUGAAGUAACAAAUGCCCUGCUUCCAGGAAAAGCCUCUAAGCAUCAGGUAACACGAAAUCGUACCCAAAACCGACACAGGUGGUCAGGUAGAGAAUACCAAGGCGCUUGAGAGAACUCGGGUGAAGGAACUAGGCAAAAUGGUGCCGUAACUUCGGGAGAAGGCACGCUGAUAUGUAGGUGAAGUGAUUUACUCAUGGAGCUGAAAUCAGUCGAAGAUACCAGCUGGCUGCAACUGUUUAUUAAAAACACAGCACUGUGCAAACACGAAAGUGGACGUAUACGGUGUGACGCCUGCCCGGUGCCGGAAGGUUAAUUGAUGGGGUUAUCCGUAAGGAGAAGCUCUUGAUCGAAGCCCCGGUAAACGGCGGCCGUAACUAUAACGGUCCUAAGGUAGCGAAAUUCCUUGUCGGGUAAGUUCCGACCUGCACGAAUGGCGUAAUGAUGGCCAGGCUGUCUCCACCCGAGACUCAGUGAAAUUGAACUCGCUGUGAAGAUGCAGUGUACCCGCGGCAAGACGGAAAGACCCCGUGAACCUUUACUAUAGCUUGACACUGAACACUGGUCCUUGAUGUGUAGGAUAGGUGGGAGGCUUUGAAGUGUGGACGCCAGUCUGCAUGGAGCCAUCCUUGAAAUACCACCCUUUAAUGGCUGGUGUUCUAACGUGGACCCGUAAUCCGGGUUGCGGACAGUGUCUGGUGGGUAGUUUGACUGGGGCGGUCUCCUCCUAAAGAGUAACGGAGGAGCACGAAGGUUAGCUAAUCCUGGUCGGACAUCAGGAGGUUAGUGCAAAGGCAUAAGCUAGCUUGACUGCGAGAGUGACGGCUCGAGCAGGUGCGAAAGCAGGUCUUAGUGAUCCGGUGGUUCUGAAUGGAAGGGCCAUCGCUCAACGGAUAAAAGGUACUCCGGGGAUAACAGGCUGAUACCGCCCAAGAGUUCAUAUCGACGGCGGUGUUUGGCACCUCGAUGUCGGCUCAUCACAUCCUGGGGCUGAAGUAGGUCCCAAGGGUAUGGCUGUUCGCCAUUUAAAGUGGUACGCGAGCUGGGUUUAGAACGUCGUGAGACAGUUCGGUCCCUAUCUGCCGUGGGCGCUGGAGAAUUGAGGGGGGCUGCUCCUAGUACGAGAGGACCGGAGUGGACGCAUCACUGGUGUUCGGGUUGUCAUGCCAAUGGCAUUGCCCGGUAGCUAAAUGCGGAAGAGAUAAGUGCUGAAAGCAUCUAAGCACGAAACUUGCCCCGAGAUGAGUUCUCCCUGAGACUUUAAGUCUCCUGAAGGAACGUUGAAGACGACGACGUUGAUAGGUCGGGUGUGUAAGUGUAGCGAUACAUUGAGCUAACCGAUACUAAUGAACCGUGAGGCUUAACCUUACAACGCCGAAG